rnacentral:rRNA from 1 species
UACAGAGGUCUCAAGCGUUGUUCGGAUUCAUUGGGCGUAAAGGGUGCGUAGGCGGCGCGGUAAGUCGGGUGUGAAAUCUUGGAGCUUAACUCCGAAACUGCAUUCGAUACUGCCGUGCUUGAGGACUGGAGAGGAGACUGGAAUUUACGGUGUAGCAGUGAAAUGCGUAGAUAUCGUAAGGAAGACCAGUGGCGAAGGCGGGUCUCUGGACAGUUCCUGACGCUGAGGCACGAAGGCCCAGGGGAGCAAAACGGG